rnacentral:rRNA from 12 species
CCUCGUCAUCUUCUUUGAUGCCCUUAUUCUUUUCGAACUCGAGCGCCAUCUCCU